GUUCCUGUAGUUGAGUAACAACGGUGGUUUUUCAAGCCAUAGGGUCGGGUUAAAGUCCCGGGAGGAAUU
rnacentral:tRNA from 1 species